GCCCUAGUAGCUCAGCGCAUAAGAGCGCCG
rnacentral:tRNA from 1 species